CCCUGUUUGUCCAAGUUCUUCCCCGCCCAGUAUUGACCAAGUUACCACCUUCCCAACAACGGCGCUCCCAAAGAAUCCCUGACUGAGUACCGUUACACCGUCGUGUUCUUUGCGCUUGACAUGCCCAGAGCCUUCCCAAGAUGAGGGAGCAGAGGCCCAGAAAGGUAAUUGCCAAAGGAAGACAUUAGCGAGUGGGCAAUGAUGCCCUGUCCGGUCGCUGGGCCACAGUCCUUCUCUCCCUUUGUCUUAACUCUAAAAUUGUGGACCAUGACUCUCCCAGGGCAGACUGGGACCACUUUUUCCAGUUCUCCUCUAGCAUAUUUUCUCUUUUUGUGGCCCCUUCAACACCUGGAAAAGUUUAGGAUCUCUCCUUUUACAACCUCCUUGCAGACCUCCCCCUCCCCAAUACGCUUGCCACUCUUAUCAUCACCCCCAUUGUUUCUGCUCCUUUGCUUAAGCCGUUAUCUUGGCCUGAGAAGCCCUUCCCUGAUUAUUCUUGGCAGAAUUCUCCAAUCUUAAGCCUGAGUUGAGGAUCCAGUGCACUGAGAGCCUUCUCUGAGGCCCCAGGCUGUAAAGCAGAUGCCCUUUCUGUGCUGCCGGGAGCCUAGCCUGUGCCUGGCACACUAUCCAUUGCUGGCUUGGGGGCUCCCAGAGAGCACGCUGCUGCUUCAACACCCAGCAUGAUGCCAUCAGAGUGUCACCUUGCAUGCCUUCGGGAUCUGAAAUCUCCCCAAGUGUUGAAUCACAAGCAGUCCACAAAAACUGCAAGAAGGGUUAAUGAGCCACCACUGGAAUGUGACUGUGGUCAUCUUUCCGUAACAGCUGUGGGUCCCUGGAAAAGUUUUCUGGUGGUAGGCAGAAAUCUGCCUUCCUAACAUUUCCACUCUGUGGUUCUAGCAUGCUGUCUCCCAACAGAUGUCUGAAGCAGAGAUUUGUUCUUUGUUCCCUGAAUAUCACUUUCUGGAGCCCAGUUCCUUCCCUUCCCACCCCACUCCUUCAACUUCUCACUUGUCAAUGUCCCAAGAACAGAACACAGCCAGAACUGGCCAUCCUGGGGCACAGUGGGUCCAUAUACUGUUAUCCUCAAUGCUCAGCACAGGCCUGGCUGUUGUUAGACUCUCAAAAAAGAGAUCUGGAAUUCCUUGGUGAUCUAGUGGUCAGGACUUCAUGCUGUCACUGCUGAGGGCCGACAUUCAAUCCCUGGUCUGAGAACUAACAUCCCACACAAAAAAAUCACUUGCUCUAAGGGAAGCCAACUGCCAUGUUGUGAGGAUACUCAAACAGCCCUAGGGAGAGGUCCACAUGGCGAGGAACUGAGGCCUCCUGCCCACCCUCACUUGCCAGGCAUGAGUAACCCAACUUGGGAAUGGAUCUUCCAGCCCCAGUCAUGCCUUCACAUGAUUGCUGCCUGAUUUGACACUUGACUGCACCCUUAGGAGACCCUGAGUCAGAACAACUUAGCUCCUGAAUCCCUGACCCACGGCAUCUGUGAUAUAAAUGUUUGGGGAUAAUUGAUUAUACUGUAAUAGAUAAUUAACCCAUGUCCUUUUUUUGUGAUAAAUAUUUGAAAGUCUUUUGUAGCGAGUUUCAAUUCCAUUUUUGAUGACCUGCAUUUGUUUCUCUGUGGCCUUACCACCCUUCAUGGGAGACCCUGAGAUGUCAGCAGUCAGUAGCUGGGAGCCCCUGCUGGCUCCUCCCAAGUGACCCCAGACCAGCCAGUUGGCUGUGGCAUUCCCAGGACUCCCUCCUUCCCAGGCAACUGGGUGUGUGGUUGAGUCAAGUUCCAAAUGUGCUGGGGACCACACCCACCUCACGUGAGAAAUCAGACAAGCCAAGUCCAGGGAAACUGUUCAUAUGACAUACUUUAUUUCCAAUCUAAACCAUUAAAAACCCUUUGUAAGUUUACACUGUACAGUUAUUCUCAUGUCUGAAAUAAGACACGGGGGGGAAGGAGAGCUGGCGGACUGGACCACGGUUGUCUAGCACCCAAUACCUCCUGGGAAGGAGCCUUCUGAAGAAAGGAGUAGGGAGGAGAAAGAGCGGACAGGAGAGGCAGAGUUUGGCCCAAGGAUGCCCCUGGUCCCUUCCUUCCCAAAGGCCUUUCCCUGGGGGACCCCUUGGGCCCACGACUUCAGAGGCCACACCAGGAAACCAGGAUGGUCAGGAAGGGGGUUUCACAGUAUUGGCGGGGGUUCAGGAUGGGGAGGCCAGGUUGAGGGAUGGCUUUUGGCUCUCUCCCCUAGCCCCUAGGGGCAGGAGCUGCUUUUUGGCACUGUCUACAAGGUCUCCCUGGAGGUGGGAGGAGGAGGAGCUGGUUGGGGAUUUAGGAGUCUGUCUUUGAGAAGCUAUGUUUCUUUCCAUUUGAAAAGAAGCCAUAAGCCUAUGGUGAGAUUCCCAAGGGAUAAAGGGUCAGGGUCUUUUGUCUCCUGCCCACCCCCCCCCCCACACACACACAGGAGGCCCACCCCCUGCCUGGCUGGCACAACCCUAUACAACCUUUAGUAAAACCCAGACGAGUAGGAAAGGUGGGUAGAACUGGAACCAAGCCAGGAGUAGAGAAAGGAAAAAUGCCUGCCUUUUUCCAGCCCCCCAGUUUCUGGGAAGAGGAGAACACAGUUGUGUUUUGCUUUGGGUAGGGAUGGCCAGGGUUCCCUGGCCU